rnacentral:rRNA from 1 species
UACGGAGGGUGCAACCGUUGCUCGGAAUCAUUGGGCGUAAAGCGCACGUAGGUGGCUUGUUAAGUCCGUUGUGAAAGCCCUGGGCUCAACCUGGGAAUUGCAGUGGAUACUGGCGAGCUAGAGUGCGGUAGAGGAUGGUGGAAUUCCCGGUGUAGCGGUGAAAUGCGUAGAGAUCGGGAGGAACACCCGUGGCGAAGGCGGCCAUCUGGACCAGCACUGACGCUGAGGCACGAAAGCGUGGGGAGCAAACAGG